rnacentral:tRNA from 3 species
GCCCAGGUGGCGAAAUUGGUAGACGCAAGGGACUUAAAAUCCCUCGGUAGAAAUACCGUGCCGGUUCGAUUCCGGCCCUGGGCACCA